CCUACGGGUGGCAGCAGUGGGGAAUAUUGCACAAUGGGCGAAAGCCUGAUGCAGCAACGCCGCGUGAGCGAUGAAGGCCUUCGGGUCGUAAAGCUCUGUCCUCAAGGAAGAGAAUGACGGUACGUGAGGAGGAAGCCACGGCUAACGACGUGCCAGCAGCCGCGGUAAUACGGAGGGGGCGAGCGUUAUCCGGAAUUACUGGGCGUAAAGGGUGCGUAGGUGGUUUCGGACGUCAGAGGUGAAAGGCUACGGCUCAACCGUAGGAAGCCUUUGAAACUGGGGAACGUGAGUGCAGGAGAGGCGAGUUGCAUUCCUCUUGUAGCGGUUCACUGCGUCGAUCUUAGGCGGAACCCCAGUUGCGCAGGCGGCUCUCUGGACUGUACCUGCCACUGCGGCACGACCGCGUGGGGAGCAAACAGGCUUAGAUACCCCUGUAGUC
rnacentral:rRNA from 1 species